CCUACGGGCGGCACCAGUGGGGAAUUUUCCGCAAUGGGCGAAAGCCUGACGGAGCAAUGCCGCGUGGAGGUAGAAGGCCCACGGGUCGUGAACUUCUUUUCCCGGAGAAGAAGCAAUGACGGUAUCUGGGGGAUAAGCAUCGGCUAACUCUGUGCCAGCAGCGGCGGUAAUACAGAGGAUGCAAGCGUUAACCGGAAUGAUUGGGCGUAAAGCGUCUGUAGGUGGCUUUUUAAGUCCGCCGUCAAAUCCCAGGGCUCAACCCUGGACAGGCGGUGGACACUACCAAGCUGGAGUACGGUAGGGGCAGAGGGACUUUCCGGUGGAGCGGUGAAAUGCGUAGAGAUCGGAAAGAACACCAACGGCUAAAGCACUCUGCUGGGCCGACACUGACACUGAGAGACGAAAGCUAGGGGAGCGAAUGGGAUUAGAUACCCCUGUAGUC
rnacentral:rRNA from 1 species